rnacentral:rRNA from 1 species
UGGGGAAUAUUGCACAAUGGGCGAAAGCCUGAUGCAGCAACGCCGCGUGAGGGAAGACGGUCUUCGGAUUGUAAACCUUUGUCCUUGGUGACGAAAAGAAUGACGGUAGCCGAGGAGGAAGCCACGGCUAACUACGUGCCAGCAGCCGCGGUAAUACGGAGGAUGCGAGCGUUAUCCGGAUUUAUUGGGUUUAAAGGGUGCGCAGGCGGCGCGCCAAGUCAGCGGUCAAGGUUCCGGGCUCAACCCGGUGUCGCCGUUGAAACUGGCGUGCUCGAGUGCGUGCGAGGAAGGCGGAAUGCGUUGUGUAGCGGUGAAAUGCAUAGAUAUGACGCAGAACUCCGAUUGCGAAGGCAGCUUUCCAGCGCGCUACUGACGCUGAGGCACGAAAGCGUGGGGAUCGAACAGGAUUAGAUACCCUGGUAGU